CAGGCACUGAGAUGUACACCUGGGAACGUCCGCCAGCUGUUUGAUGUUGUGCCGGCUCCAACAAAGCGUAUCCCGUUGAGGAGGUGUGAUCUGACCCAACCAGACCGAACAACCCUCAAGUCAAUUCUAGAGCUAAAAGGAUGAGACUGCCCCUCUCAAAGGCAACUGGACAACGGGUUCUACUGAAACCUUCAGCAAAAACAGACAAUGAGAAAACCGCUAAAAGGGUGUCCCUCUAUCCAUCAGCUAUGAUCUUGUACAGGACACCCCAGUGAGAAUUCAAGUUCAAAUUAAAACCAACCUAUUUACAAUAAAUGCUGUGAACUGG